UUCUUCCUUAACUCGUUCACUUGGUGUUCUCUUGACAAACCGCAUAACCAACUAUGGAAAAUGAAAGCGAAAAGAAGAAAGUGCAACAUAGUUCAUAGUCCACGUGCUUUUCAGCAGGCAAGCUAAGUAGGAGGCCCUUUUGACGCGAAGUGACCUGACAGAUGAUGCCCAUCCGUGUUGUCGCCUGUCAGGAGGCGCCUCCACCAGGAACAGCCACUUCCAGGACAAUGAAGACUACCCGAUUGUAAGUCAGGACUAGUGAGUUCCUGAGGGUGAGUCUGGGGAAGAAGGCUUGUGGAGGACGGAUUGGGUCGCUGUGGCACAGUUCCCGAAAGACGGUCAA